UGACACACGGGGAGAGAGACAGAUGGAGAAAGUGAAAGAAUCCUGAGGAGAAAACACGCAAGACCGAGAAAACCAAGAGAGGAGCGUACAGCUGUGACAGAGGGAGAGGAAGAAAGAGAGAGGGAGAGGAGGAGGAGUGGAUGGUAGAGAGCCGGAGACACAGCGAGCGGGAGGGAGAAAGAUGGCCUCGGUCACGGCGGAGAAUGGUUUCAGCACCACGAACAGCUCCGGCAGAAUGAACGGACUCAACAGUGCGAUCCCGAUGAAAGAUCACGACGCCAUCAAGCUCUUCAUCGGUCAGAUCCCGCGCAACCUGGAGGAGAAGGACCUCAAGCCGCUCUUUGAGGAGUUCGGCAAGAUCUACGAGCUCACGGUGCUCAAGGACCGGUUCACCGGGAUGCAUAAAGGAUGUGCCUUUCUAACGUACUGUGCCAGAGAGUCAGCGCUGAAGGCCCAGAGCGCUCUCCACGAACAAAAGACUCUACCCGGGAUGAACCGGCCCAUCCAGGUGAAACCGGCCGACAGUGAAGGACGAGGAGAAGACCGGAAGCUGUUUGUGGGCAUGUUGGGGAAGCAGCAGAGUGAAGAGGACGUGCGGCGGCUGUUCGAGUCGUUCGGCCAGAUAGAGGAGUGCACCGUGCUGCGGGGGCCUGAUGGGGCCAGUAAGGGCUGUGCUUUUGUAAAGUUUUCCAGUCAUGCAGAAGCCCAGGCUGCGAUUAACAGUCUCCACGGUGGACAGACGAUGCCGGGUGCGUCCUCCAGUCUGGUGGUGAAGUUUGCAGACACCGAUAAGGAACGGACCCUGCGCCGGAUGCACCAGAUGGCCGGUCAGCUCGGCAUCUUCAGUCCCAUGACCAUCCAGUUUGGAGCGUACGGAGCUUACACACACGCUCAGAUCAUGCAGCAGCAGGCGGCGCUCAUGGCGGCGACGCAGGGCUCGUAUCUGAACCCAAUGGCUGCCAUCGCCGCCGCGCAGAUGCAGCAAAUGGCAGCUUUCAACGUCAACGGGCUGGUGGCUGCACCCAUGACGCCGUCCUCAGGCACCAGCACUCCACCAGGCAUCAGUGCCACGGCUGUGCCCAGCAUCGCAGCUCCGAUCGGGGUGAACGGCUUCAGCGCUCUCCCUCCCCAAACCAACGGACAGCCCACCUCCGAACCCAUCUACACCAACGGCAUCCAUCCGUACCCAGCACAGAGCCCGACGGUGGCGGAUCCUCUCCAGCAGGCGUAUGCCGGCGUGCAGCACUAUGCAGCAGCCUAUCCUGCCGCUUAUGCGCCAAUCAGCCAAGCGUUUCCCCAGCAACCAGCCAUCAUCCCCCAGCAACAGCGGGAAGGACCGGAGGGCUGUAACCUGUUUAUUUACCACCUGCCGCAGGAGUUCGGCGACGCGGAGCUCAUGCAGAUGUUUCUGCCCUUUGGCAACGUCAUUUCCGCCAAAGUCUUCGUGGACCGGGCCACCAAUCAGAGCAAGUGUUUCGGAUUCGUCAGCUUCGAUAACCCGUCCAGCGCUCAGGCAGCCAUUCAGGCCAUGAACGGCUUUCAGAUCGGCAUGAAGAGGCUCAAAGUUCAGCUGAAGCGGCCAAAGGACGCCAACCGGCCGUACUGACCCUGAGCCGACCGCUGCCACCUUCACUCACAGGGCUCAGGUAGCUCAGGACGGGCCGCUCUGUCUCGUAUGUAAGUCUCCAUCAGGGACGCACGCGUGUCCACCGCCGAUGAAGGACUACAACCCCUUAUUUCCACAAGUGCAGUAUCAAAAGACUUUUGCUCUGCUACAUAUCACGGGAGGCGAGCGGUCCCUGGGAUUUGCGGGGAAAUCACUGAGAGCUGGAAAAACUGGAGGAUUUUUUCUGCCAACUUUCUUCUUUUUUCGCUUCGGCAUUUGCAGGAUGCUUUUUUUGCAUUUUGCAGAGACCGACUUUUUUGCUGCUGUUUUUUUUAGACGAGUUUGAGAAAAAAAAAACAACCUUUAUGAACACAUUAUGCUCAAAGCAUGCAUAAACACACACGAACACACACACCUUCAGAAUAUCCUCGCCUUUACAUGCACACAAAACUCUUUUGAAAUCCUCAUGUAAAUGUAUUGAUUUCCACACACACACACACACACACACACACACACCAGCCUGCUGCCAUUUUGGUUUUCGUGCCUACACUGGUAUCUGCGCUCUGGACGAGAAUCCAGGAAUAUCGACAUGCAUCAUUCCUUAGAAAAUAGGGACCAAAGGACUACAC